UUUUUUAUAUUAGCGUGAUGAAAAAGUUGUUUAAAUCACUGAUUCAUCAACUCAAUCAUAAACCUACUUCCCUUGUGUCAUUACUGGAUUAAUCAGCGAUUUUGAACGAUUCUGUGAAUGAAAAAUUAAUUAAUUGACAAAUACAUUUAAAGGCUAUGUUGCAGGUUUUUUUUUUCUGGCAAUUUUCUAGUUCAUAAUAAACAUUUAAACAGUUAUCCAUUGUAUUUGAUGUUGAAGGGUAUUACAAAAAAUAAAUAUAAUAAGGAAAAGUAGGUGAUAUCUUAGCGGUUAGCUACAGGUUAGAAAUGAAUCUUGUUUCUCCCACAAUGCAUUGCAUGACGUCACAUGAGGUACUUGCUUUUGGACGACAAACGAAAGCCCGCCUUGAUACCAUUGAGAGAGUGAGACGAGUAGUGAGAGUAGUAGCUAGUGAAAGAGAUCGAUAGAUUGAUAGAUAGAUAGAUAGAUAGAUAUCAUAGCAUAGCAUAAAUAUAUAGUCAGAGAUAGCAUAGCAUAACAGAUAGCUUAGAGAAAGAGUAGAGAAUAAGUAGACAACAUGGUUUAUUACUGUGUUUGUGGCGGGUGCAAGAACUCCAGCAAAACUGGACAUAGGGUCCAUUGUUUCCCCAAGGACAAAGGGAUCUUCCGAAGCUGGGUGCAAUUUGUCAAGAUUAGGCGGGCAGAUUUUCAGCUAGCUCUGUCACCGCCUACUCGAGAAUAUGCAGCGCGCAUUUCAAGGAGGAGGAUUACCACUCAGGGGAUGCCAAGAUGGUCGCACUUUCUUUAAAAAGUAUGAGGAUGGCUAAGUUAAUUCCUACCGCCGUGCCAUCUGUGAAUGCAAACCUCUCUGCUUGUCCUGUCCCGAGGUCGAGAGACACCGUCUGCCGCAAGCGAUAUAUUGCCACGGUAAGCAUCAUGCUAACGUUAAUGUUUACAAGCUGCGUUUUAGCUAGCUCUGUUUCUAUUUUGCAUACCGUGUUCCCUUUGACACAGCCUCCACUACAAGCAUGAUCAUUCUGACAUUAGAAGAGCAUAUUUCGUGAUUCACGAAUAGGAGCCAAAACAAAAUUGCCCUGAAGUAAAUGUCCAUAAUAUGGACAUCGGGAAUCGUCAUCGGCAAUCGCCUUUCACAAUAGUGUGUUUGCGUUUUGUGUUAGACUGCUACAGUUCUCUUUCACAUAUAUUUGACCGUGACCGUGUAGUGGAGGCUAAACGCAAGUAAACACAGUUUACCCACCUCUGAAAUGUCAGAAACAGUUUAUCCACUUUUCACUUCAAAGUUUAGCUACCUCUCAGUAAAUUAUAAUCACAAUGCCAACCGCGAGACAGCACGGAGAAGUGAUGGGACGGAGAAGUACUGCGUGCGGUAUCCGCGCUUCAGAAAAAGUGCCCAUGUGGUGCUUCCCAUCAAAGAGGCAGCCUCAUACGGUUAUGCAACAUCAUUAAUGAAGGCCCUUCGGGAAAGCUACACCAAUUCACCUGCAGCUCUUCGAGAGACAAGUCCAAUGAUUUAGUUGUAAGUAUUUAUUUUAGUUAGUUAUCUUCUUUCCCUCUGUCCCGGUCAUCUCAUUUGGUGGUGGUUUCCUGCAUGCUGCAUGGUUUGUUUUUUCUUUGUGUGCUGUUGCUUUGGUUUUACUUUGCACAAAAUUAUUACUUUUUUCCAUCUUUGUAAGUGGCAAUAAUUGUCGCUGUACCCCAUUCAAGGGGUCCUGCAUGCUGCAUGUCUGCUCCUCCGUCUGUUAUUUGCAUGAAAUUUGUUGUAUGUAAUUAAAAAUAAUUUACCAAUCAUUUUACCUGUGCCUUGUCAACCUCUGUGUGCGGUGUUGUCUGGGCUCACUGUGUGUCUGCUUGAUGUGCUUUUGCGUGUGUGUGUGUGUGUGUGAGAGAGAGAAACAAAAGAAACUGUGCAAACGUUUCAGGUCAGUAAUCUUCGUCCUUGUUCAGUAAAUGUUCAGUAACCGUUACAAGCAAUGCCAAUAAACUGUGUUUUCUUAUCAAAA